AUGUUUGGUUUUUGGCCUUUUGAAUACAAGAUAUGUGUCUUCAUCUUUUUUUUGGUGACUGAUUGGCGCCGGCGCGCCGGCCCAAUGUUUUGGCCGGUCACGCCCACGUCGUCACAUGUCAGCCAUCUCGUCUAUUGGAUUAAAAAAAUGCUUUGUCCCCAAAAGCUUUUUCUUCCUCACGCAACACCCGUCGCCUUCCGCAUCUCCCGCGAAACCGCAUCUCGUGCAGCUCGCCAGUUCCGCACGCCGCGCUCUCCCGCUGCCCCUCGGUCGCAGCACCAAGCUGCCUCCCUAUCGCUCCAUGCUAGAUCUCGUUGCCGGGAUUCACGGCAACUCCUCACUGGUCGCAGUCCCUAG
rnacentral:rRNA from 1 species